GCACAAGCGGUGGAGCAUGUGGUUUAAUUCGAUGAUACGCGAGGAACCUUACCUGGGCUCAAAUGUAUGUUGACGUAUUCUGAAAGGGAUACUUCUUCGGACAAUAUACAAGGUGCUGCAUGGUUGUCGUCAGCUCGUGCCGUGAGGUGUCGGGUUAAGUCCCAUAACGAGCGCAACCCCUAUCAUUAGUUGCCAUCAGGUCAAGCUGGGGACUCUAAUGAAACUGCCUACGCAAGUAGUGAGGAAGGUGGGGAUGACGUCAAAUCAGCACGGCCCUUACGUCCAGGGCUACACACGUGCUACAAUGGCCGGUACAAAGGGCAGCUACCUGGUGACAGGAUGCUAAUCUCAAAAGCCGGUCUCAGUUCGGAUUGAAGUCUGCAACUCGACUUCAUGAAGCUGGAAUCGCUAGUAAUCGCAGAUCAGCCAAGCUGCGGUGAAUACGUUCCCGGGCCUU
rnacentral:rRNA from 1 species